CUUAAGUGGGGAAUAACGCAUCGAAAGAUGUGCUAAUACCGCAUAUACUCUGAGGAGGAAAGCAGGGGACCGUAAGGCCUUGCGCUUUUGGAGCGGCCGAUGUCUGAUUAGCUAGUUGGUAGGGUAAGGGCCUACCAAGGCGACGAUCAGUAGUUGGUCUGAGAGGACGACCAGCCACACUGGGACUGAGACACGGCCCAGACUCCUACGGGAGGCAGCAGUGGGGAAUUUUGGACAAUGGGCGCAAGCCUGAUCCAGCAAUGCCGCGUGAGUGAAGAAGGCCUUCGGGUUGUAAAGCUCUUUCAGUCGAGAAGAAAAGGCUACGGUAAAUAAUCGUAGUUCAUGACGGUACCGACAGAAGAAGCACCGGCUAACUACGUGCCAGCAGCCGCGGUAAUACGUAGGGUGCGAGCGUUAAUCGGAAUUACUGGGCGUAAAGGGUGCGCAGGCGGCUUUGUAAGUCAGAUGUGAAAUCCCCGGGCUUAACCUGGGAAUUGCGUUUGAAACUACAAGGCUAG
rnacentral:rRNA from 1 species